rnacentral:rRNA from 1 species
GGUGAAUUUUCCGCAAUGGGCGAAAGCCUGACGGAGCAAGACCGCGUGGGGGAAGAAGGCUCUUGGGUUGUAAACCCCUUUUCUCUGGGAAGAAAGUUGUGAAAGCAACCUGACGGUACCAGAGGAAUCAGCAUCGGCUAACUCCGUGCCAGCAGCCGCGGUAAGACGGAGGAUGCAGGCGUUAUCCGGAAUGAUUGGGCGUAAAGCGUCCGCAGGUGGCAGUUCAAGUCUGCUGUCAAAGACCGGGGCUUAACCUCGGAAAGGCAGUGGAAACUGAACAGCUAGAGUAUGGUAGGGGCAAAGGGAAUUCCUGGUGUAGCGGUGAAAUGCGUAGAGAUCAGGAAGAACAUCGGUGGCGAAGGCGCUUUGCUGGACCAUAACUGACACUCAGGGACGAAAGCUAGGGGAGCGAAUGGGAUUAGAUACCCCAGUAGUCCUAGCCGUAAACGAUGGAUACUAGGUGUUGUCUGUAUCGACCCGGACAGUGCCGUAGCUAACGC